UACGUAGGGGGGCAAGCGUUGUCCGGAAUCAUUGGGCGUAAAGAGCGUGUAGGCGGUCCGGUAAGUCCGCUGUGAAAGUCGGGGGGCUCAACCCUCGAAUGCCGGUGGAUACUGUCGGGCUAGAGUACGGAAGAGGCGAGUGGAAUUCCUGGUGUAGCGGUGAAAUGCGCAGAUAUCAGGAGGAACACCUAUUGCGAAGGCAGCUCGCUGGGACGUAACUGACGCUGAGACGCGAAAGCGUGGGGAGCAAACAGG
rnacentral:rRNA from 1 species